rnacentral:rRNA from 1 species
AUUAGCUAGUUGGUAAGGUAACGGCUUACCAAGGCAAUGAUGCAUAGCCGAGUUGAGAGACUGAUCGGCCACAUUGGGACUGAGACACGGCCCAAACUCCUACGGGAGGCAGCAGUAGGGAAUCUUCCACAAUGGACGAAAGUCUGAUGGAGCAACGCCGCGUGAGUGAAGAAGGGUUUCGGCUCGUAAAGCUCUGUUGGUAGUGAAGAAAGAUAGAGGUAGUAACUGGCCUUUAUUUGACGGUAAUUACUUAGAAAGUCACGGCUAACUACGUGCCAGCAGCCGCGGUAAUACGUAGGUGGCAAGCGUUGUCCGGAUUUAUUGGGCGUAAAGCGAGUGCAGGCGGUUCAAUAAGUCUGAUGUGAAAGCCUUCGGCUCAACCGGAGAAUUGCAUCAGAAACUGUUGAACUUGAGUGCAGAAGAGGAGAGUGGAACUCCAUGUGUAGCGGUGAAAUGCGUAGA